rnacentral:rRNA from 1 species
UUAAGCGACUAAGCGUACACGGUGGAUGCCCUGGCAGUCAGAGGCGAUGAAGGACGUGCUAAUCUGCGAAAAGCGUCGGUAAGGUGAUAUGAACCGUUAUAACCGGCGAUGUCCGAAUGGGGAAACCCAGUGCAAUUCGUUGCACUAUCGUUAACUGAAUACAUAGGUUAACGAGGCGAACCGGGGGAACUGAAACAUCUAAGUACCCCGAGGAAAAGAAAUCAACCGAGAUUCCCCCAGUAGCGGCGAGCGAACGGGGAGCAGCCCAGAGUCUGAAUCAGCUUGUGUGUUAGUGGAACGGUCUGGAAAGUCCGACGGUACAGGGUGAUAGUCCCGUACACCAAAAUGCACAGGUUGUGAACUCGAAGAGUAGGGCGGGACACGUGGUAUCCUGUCUGAAUAUGGGGGGACCAUCCUCCAAGGCUAAAUACUCCUGACUGACCGAUAGUGAACCAGUACCGUGAGGGAAAGGCGAAAAGAACCCCGGCGAGGGGAGUGAAAAAGAACCUGAAACCGUGUACGUACAAGCAGUGGGAGCACCUUCGUGGUGUGACUGCGUACCUUUUGUAUAAUGGGUCAGCGACUUAUAUUCUGUAGCAAGGUUAACCGUAUAGGGGAGCCGCAGGGAAACCGAGUCUUAACUGGGCGUUAAGUUGCAGGGUAUAGACCCGAAACCCGGUGAUCUAGCCAUGGGCAGGUUGAAGGUUGGGUAACACUAACUGGAGGACCGAACCGACUAAUGUUGAAAAAUUAGCGGAUGACUUGUGGCUGGGGGUGAAAGGCCAAUCAAACCGGGAGAUAGCUGGUUCUCCCCGAAAGCUAUUUAGGUAGCGCCUCGUGAACUCAUCUUCGGGGGUAGAGCACUGUUUCGGCUAGGGGGUCAUCCCGACUUACCAACCCGAUGCAAACUACGAAUACCGAAGAAUGUUAUCACGGGAGACACACGGCGGGUGCUAACGUCCGUCGUGAAGAGGGAAACAACCCAGACCGCCAGCUAAGGUCCCAAAGUCAUGGUUAAGUGGGAAACGAUGUGGGAAGGCACAGACAGCCAGGAUGUUGGCUUAGAAGCAGCCAUCAUUUAAAGAAAGCGUAAUAGCUCACUGGUCGAGUCGGCCUGCGCGGAAGAUGUAACGGGGCUAAACCAUGCACCGAAGCUGCGGCAGCGACACUAUGUGUUGUUGGGUAGGGGAGCGUUCUGUAAGCCUGCGAAGGUGGCCUGUGAGGGCUGCUGGAGGUAUCAGAAGUGCGAAUGCUGACAUAAGUAACGAUAAAGCGGGUGAAAAGCCCGCUCGCCGGAAGACCAAGGGUUCCUGUCCAACGUUAAUCGGGGCAGGGUGAGUCGACCCCUAAGGCGAGGCCGAAAGGCGUAGUCGAUGGGAAACAGGUUAAUAUUCCUGUACUUGGUGUUACUGCGAAGGGGGGACGGAGAAGGCUAUGUUAGCCGGGCGACGGUUGUCCCGGUUUAAGCAUGUAGGCGGAGGUUCCAGGUAAAUCCGGUACCUUUUAACGCUGAGGUGUGAUGACGAGGCACUACGGUGCUGAAGUAACAAAUGCCCUGCUUCCAGGAAAAGCCUCUAAGCAUCAGGUAACAUCAAAUCGUACCCCAAACCGACACAGGUGGUCAGGUAGAGAAUACCAAGGCGCUUGAGAGAACUCGGGUGAAGGAACUAGGCAAAAUGGUGCCGUAACUUCGGGAGAAGGCACGCUGGUGUGUAGGUGAAGUCCCUGCGGAUGGAGCUGAGACCAGUCGAAGAUACCAGCUGGCUGCAACUGUUUAUUAAAAACACAGCACUGUGCAAACACGAAAGUGGACGUAUACGGUGUGACGCCUGCCCGGUGCCGGAAGGUUAAUUGAUGGGGUUAUCCGUAAGGAGAAGCUCUUGAUCGAAGCCCCGGUAAACGGCGGCCGUAACUAUAACGGUCCUAAGGUAGCGAAAUUCCUUGUCGGGUAAGUUCCGACCUGCACGAAUGGCGUAAUGAUGGCCAGGCUGUCUCCACCCGAGACUCAGUGAAAUUGAACUCGCUGUGAAGAUGCAGUGUACCCGCGGCAAGACGGAAAGACCCCGUGAACCUUUACUAUAGCUUGACACUGAACAUUGAGCCUUGAUGUGUAGGAUAGGUGGGAGGCUUUGAAGCGUGGACGCCAGUCUGCGUGGAGCCAACCUUGAAAUACCACCCUUUAAUGUUUGAUGUUCUAACGUUGGCCCCUUAUCGGGGUUGCGGACAGUGUCUGGUGGGUAGUUUGACUGGGGCGGUCUCCUCCCAAAGAGUAACGGAGGAGCACGAAGGUUAGCUAAUCCUGGUCGGACAUCAGGAGGUUAGUGCAAUGGCAUAAGCUAGCUUGACUGCGAGCGUGACGGCGCGAGCAGGUGCGAAAGCAGGUCAUAGUGAUCCGGUGGUUCUGAAUGGAAGGGCCAUCGCUCAACGGAUAAAAGGUACUCCGGGGAUAACAGGCUGAUACCGCCCAAGAGUUCAUAUCGACGGCGGUGUUUGGCACCUCGAUGUCGGCUCAUCACAUCCUGGGGCUGAAGUAGGUCCCAAGGGUAUGGCUGUUCGCCAUUUAAAGUGGUACGCGAGCUGGGUUUAGAACGUCGUGAGACAGUUCGGUCCCUAUCUGCCGUGGGCGCUGGAGAAUUGAGGGGGGCUGCUCCUAGUACGAGAGGACCGGAGUGGACGCAUCACUGGUGUUCGGGUUGUCAUGCCAAUGGCACUGCCCGGUAGCUAAAUGCGGAAGAGAUAAGUGCUGAAAGCAUCUAAGCACGAAACUUGCCCCGAGAUGAGUUCUCCCUGAGACUUUAAGUCUCCUGAAGGAACGUUGAAGACGACGACGUUGAUAGGCCGGGUGUGUAAGCGCAGCGAUGCGUUGAGCUAACCGGUACUAAUGAACCGUGAGGCUUAACCUU